AGGCCCGGGCGCGCGGGGCGGGGACCCGAGACCCACCUGGGGCGCCCCCCGGCGCCACCAGGCUCCGCGUCUUGGGUCUCGGUAAGCGCUCCGGGAUAGAGCAGGGCUAGGGGACGCUCCGCUCUGCAGGCGCAGCGCGGGCCGGGCGUCCGGUGCAGGAAAGGGUCCCUACGCCCGAAAUUGCGCGCGGGCGGUGGGUGGGGAGGAGAGUGAAAACCCAAGUGGUAACUUCCAGCCUCGGAUGACUGCCGGGUGGGCUUUGCGUGCUCUUUUUUGUUUGUUUCAUGUUCUUAUCACGAAGCUCUAGUUGCUGGGCAGCCGCCCCCGUCCCGGAAGCACUCCCACGGCAGUCAGCGAAGCAGGCCUGUUGUCCAUCAGAAAAGUGACUUGUAUAAAAAUGUCACUUCCUCCCUGUAAUUGCUUGUGGGCAUUUUUAUUUAUUUGCCUUGCAUCUAUUUACUUUCCCAACCAGACACGUUUUUAGUCCAUCAUCCCGUCCGAGGCACUCCCUAAAAGAAGGAGAGGAAACUCGACCUCUGUUGCCUCGCAGGCAUCCAGGCCAGCCCCAGCCAGUGGAAUCCUGGUUGCACACCCGUGGGGCAAAACCCGAAGAGGAGCUGCCCGAAUGGGCCCCUAGAAGUUUGCAUGGGUCAGAAUUCCUGGUACAGCCUCGCUUGGUGCCUCUCAGUCAAGAUCUCCAUGAGGUUACUGUCCUGCUGUUGGCCAUGGCUGUGGUCUCACCUGAAGGCUCUAUGGAAGGAAGAGGACCUGCUUUCAAACGCACACAGCUGACUGCUAGCAAGAUUCACUUCCACUCAGGCUGUUGUGCUGGGGGCUUUAGUUCCUCACUGGCUGUUGGCUGGAGGCUUCCCUCAGCUCCUUUCCCUGUGGCUCUCUCCACAGGCCAGCUCACAACAUGGCAUGGUCAUGGCAGCUCAGAAUGACCAAGGGCAGCUCAGAAUGCCCAGGGUGUCCAAGGCAGAUGUCAUAGAUGUUUUGUACCCUAAUUGUGAAAAUAACAUCCUGUCACUUUUUUCAUAGUCUAUGUGUGAUAUGGUUUGGCUCUGUGCCCCCUCCCAAAUCUCAUCUUGAAUUGUAAUCCCCACAUAUCAAGAAAGGGGCCUGUAAUCUUUGUAUAGCAAAGGAGGGAGACGAUCAGAUCAUGGGAGUGGUUUCCCUCAUGCCGUUCUCAUGAGAGCAAGUGAAUUCUCACAAGAUAUGAUGGUUUUAUAAGUGUUUGGAAGUUUCUCCUUCGUUUUUCUCUCUUCCGCUGCCUUGUGAAGAAGGUGCUUGUUUCCUGUUUGCCUUCAGCCAAGAUUGUAAGUUUCCUGAUGCCUCCAGUGGAACUGUGAGUCAAUUAAAUCUCUUUCCUCUAUAAAUUACCCAGUCUUGCAUAGUUCUUUAUAGCAGUGUGAAAACAGACUAAUACAAUGUGUUAGAAGCAAGUCUUGAGGAGUGGAUUACACAAGGGCAUUCAGCGCAGGUGAUGUGGAUCUUUGGAGGUCAUCUCAGAGACCAGCUACCUUGAGAUGUUAUGAAGAAAUCUUAUGCCUCUCCCUCAGUCCCUGUUAGCCCAGUCAGUCCACUUCCUACCUCUAAGUAACCUGAGUAAGCCUUCAAUCACACAAUAGGCCUAGAUGACUGGCAUCAGUCUGUUCCUGAAAUGAGAAGGAAGGACAGCUCCCUUAUGCUGAUUCUACCAGCAUUUUGUAGCCAUCCAAGUUGAUGAGGAGGGUGGCAGUGGCAGUGAUGGAGGGUCUAGCACUGUUGUCAUCAGGCACCUGCAAGUCUUACCGUGUGUCCCACAAGAACUGGAAAUGGAGAGCCAAACUCUGCUCAGUGGAAAUUGCAAGGCAUGCCAUGAGAGGCUUAGAGUACCUCUCCUCCUCUCUAAUCAUACCUCGUUGCUAC
rnacentral:lncRNA from 13 species